rnacentral:rRNA from 1 species
UGGGGAAUAUUGCGCAAUGGGGGCAACCCUGACGCAGCAACGCCGCGUGAUUGAUGAAGGUCUUCGGAUUGUAAAAAUCUUUAAUCAGGGACGAAACAAAUGACGGUACCUGAAGAAUAAGCUCCGGCUAACUACGUGCCAGCAGCCGCGGUAAUACGUAGGGAGCAAGCGUUAUCCGGAUUUACUGGGUGUAAAGGGCGUGUAGGCGGGCUUGUAAGUUGGAAGUGAAAUCUCGGGGCUUAACCCCGAAACUGCUUUCAAAACUGCGAGUCUUGAGUGAUGGAGAGGCAGGCGGAAUUCCCAGUGUAGCGGUGAAAUGCGUAGAUAUUGGGAGGAACACCAGUGGCGAAGGCGGCCUGCUGGACAUUAACUGACGCUGAGGCGCGAAAGCGUGGGGAGCAAACA